AUGUUGCGCACUCGCUUUUCCCCCACCCCCGCCUGCUUCCAGGCAGCUGGCGUGGGUCCCUUGCCGUCCGGCGGCGACUGUAAAUAGAGCCUGGAUGUUGUUUACAUGAAGGAUCCGGCGGGAGGAGUCUGCGAGGAGGAGGCGGAGGAGGAGGAGGAGGGAGGGAGGAGAGAGGAAGACCGGAGUCCCCGCGGCGGCGGUCCGGGGCGAGGGUGAGCCCCGCGCGGCGCGGGCACUGGUCGCUACCACGAGGCCAGGACGCCGGACCCUGGGGUAGGAGGGAAAGUGGGCGCGGGGCGGGGAGAUGAGGGGGUCUGUCUGAGUGGCAUUUUUAGCUUACAACCUGCCACGCAGAUUCUCCGGGGCGAGAGGGGAGGGGUGUGCGGGGAGGGCGGGGAAGCCUUGAUUUCUCCGCACGUUCGUGCUCGCAUCCCCGAUCUUUUCCCGCUUCCUCUCGGGGCUCACCUGUUUAUUUCCAUCAACCAGAGCUUGCAGUUGUUUUUUUGUGUGUGUGUAGGCAUGAGAGGCUGUUCCUUUUAUUAGAAGCAUUAUUGGGGAAGGAGGGGUGCGUGGCUGUAAUUUAUGCCGGUCUCGGUCGCUUUUCAAGAAGGGGGAGGGGACUUGGCGAAGAUCGCCUGCUCCCGGCCGUAGCUGACCCCAUGGGCGUAACCCCUGCCUUACCCCUUCCGAAGAAUCUUUUCCCUCAGCUACCCGCAGGCCAGCUGCCACCUUCUUGGAGAAGGACCACACCUGUGCUUAUUCCUCGCUUUGGAGGAGAGACUCUCCAUCAGAGUGGUAACAGCAGAAGGACGGUGCUGCAGCGGUCUCUGGGAAGAGAGGGCCGAUUAAAGGGAGCUUGUGGAUCUCCUCGACUUGCAGGCUCUGUGGAGGGAGCACACUUCAUAAAUCCUGAUGGACUGAUUUUUGGCUACAUCCUCAGAUUUGUACGAAGAACUGUUUUGAGUGAAUCAGUGUGUCUUUGUUUGCAUCUUCUGGAAUCCUGAAGACUGAGCCAAGGAGUUAGCAAGGCUGAGCCCUGUACUGAGCAUUUAAUCAGUUGAACACUUCCUUAUGUUUCCCUGGUUUGUGCUCAUAACAAGUGACCUUCGUCCAACUCCUCGCAACACACGAUUGUGGAAUGUUCCCUCCUGAGGAACAUGCUUUGUUUUUUUCAUUGUGAACACACUGAAAAUCUCUGAAAAUUCAAAUGAGUUUGGACAGUGGUAAUAAUGUAAGCUAACUGUACCUGCUGUGUGCCCAGUAUUCUACAUAUGUAUUAUGUUCUGCAUAUGUAUUCAGUUAGUGUUUACAUGCUAACUGUUCCAACAGCCCUGGUCAAAUGGGGGCGGGGGCAGGGGAACUAAGGCUUAGAAAAAUGUGGUCACUUACCUGAGUUAACUUGUUCAAGCCUCAGCUUCUGCAUCCUUAUAUUUACUGCAGAUUCAUAUCAGCAUCCUUGUACAAGUGAGGCAGUGCUAGAACCCCAAAGUCAUAAUAUUUUCAUUGAUUCCUUUCUUCUACCUGUAAACACUGUUGGGACCUUUUGGUUUUGAUUUUGAAUACACAUUACCUAUUCAAUAAUUCAGGAGUGGAAUGAUGCACAUGUAAUUCUGAGUCCUGAGAAUUCAGAAGCCCCCAUGGUAAUAAAAAGCUAACAUUGAUUAAAGACUUUCUGCA
ensembl:lncRNA